CUCGGACGCCGAGCUUCCGUUCGCGGCAGGUUGGGCAUUGCGCACCCGCCACAAGUACCGUCAGCGCAUCGAUUUCGCAAAGCAGCGUGUUGGCAGUAGCAGCAUCUACUGGUCUACGUUCACUCUCGAAGAAUCCAAUCUUCCUUUGGGAUGCACUGACGAAUUCCACGGCAGCGGCUAUUUCACAACCACUGUCGCGGUGUUCAGUGUCGGUGUUAGGCCUAUCCGAAGUCGGAGCGUCGGGGCUUUGGUCGGGGGUGACAUCGUCGUUCGCUGUCGCUUUGGGAAGCGUCCGACGCCGUUUCCCUCGAUACUUGUGGCGAGUUCUGAACUUUCGAUUAUCUAGACUGCGCUUCUUGGGGCUUGCCACGACGCAAAAAUGCAGAGAAACGCAGAACAACUCGAUCGCGACGUCCGAGGCUUCGCUCUUUUGCCGGAGAGAUAGGAGGGGGAGGGGGUGGAGCGCACCGCCGUCCAAUGGCGGCCUCGCACUGUUUGCCGCGAUAUUCAAAACGCGUGACGUAUGCAUUGUUUUUCUUGUUUUUUGUUUAUUCUGCGUGAAGCUACGAGACUGGCUACUAAUGGAUUGUGAAGGGGACGGCCUUCGCAGCAUGUGUGCACGAUUGCAAAUGGCGGCCAACGCAUUGUUUUUUCGACAGGACGACGCGAACUACGCCAUUUUUGGCGACUUUUGCGCAUUUCUCACGUCACCGCUGCCCACUUGGAAGCAUUUUUAGAUAAUUUCUCGCGCGAAUUUCAGCUUGAUAUUUUCAGAAGUAAAAGAUUAUAAUCCAAGGAUGCCAAUACAACCGGAAAAAAAAAGCGAAAAUUUUCCGGAAAACUGCGACUUUUCGACCCGCGUCUCCCCUUAAUUUGAAGGCAACGGCUGUCAAUUUCAUACUCCUGUUUAGACCGGGACUCAUAGCACAGCCUCUGGCACUUUUGUGCAAUUAAACCCAAAUUAACUAACCUUUCAAGAUUUGCGGCUGUAUUUCUUGAUGCUGCAUAUAUGCUUAACGCUCAGCAGCCAUGAGGGGCCUCUCCUCUGUGAGGGCCUCUCGCUCCAUUUGGUGCUCCUUUAGUCCUUGGCGCCGCUCUUCUGCAUGUGCUUCUCGCUCCAUCUGGUGUUCUUUCAUGUCCAUUUCUUUCAUCCUCAAGUUGCUCAUCAGCCGUAUUCUUUGCCGACCCUGGUUUGAACCUACGUGAGUGGGUGGAGCAAAAACAACAGUACGGGGGCAGGUAUUCUGUAAGAGUCUACCUAGUGAACUGUCCAUUUUAGCUGUCGCUGAUUGGCUGCUGCUUUACGUGCAGGAAGGAGACUGGCUGGCACUAGGUAGACUAGAGAGAAUGCCGCCCCAGCUGUGCUACGGUUACAGAGCUGUUAAGAAAGCGCAUUUGGUGUUGAGAUUAAUGAACACAAACAGCAUGCAACGAGUAACAUGCAUAGACUAUAGCAGGCAAAAUACCUGGGUGGCAAGCCUGACACUCGUCUUCUGAAGAUCGUAAGGCGCAACAUGGGCUCGCGUCAGUUUUGGCACGACUCGUUGGUGUUUGUCUUUUUCUGUAUCAAACAGCGUGACGUAGUGACCGAUUAAAAUCUAAUUCAAAACAUUCGCAACUUUGUUCUUUUGUUACCAGUUCAUAAGUAUGCUUCUUCAGGUGAUUGCUGAUGCAUUUUAUGUAUGGGACAUCAUUAUUGAAAGAGAUCCUCUGAGAAGGCUCCUAAGGGUGAUCGAUGUGAUGGCAUGCAGAGUGCAGCUUCCCUGAUAUACCAAGCUGGGUCCACACUGAGUGGCUGUUCCCGGCUCCUUCACUUAUGACAGCAAGCACUGAGGCAUUGCUCUUGCGCAGUUCAAGCACAACACUCAGCACGAGUUCAGAAAGGACCUUCCCAGGGGCUGCUCCUUUUGUCGCGAAGCUUGCUAUGGGCUGCACCCAGUCCUCGAACAGUGGCACAAACAUGACUAGUCCAUGAUCAGCGAGUUGAUCUGUGGCUGUGGAUGCUACGUCACCAUAGUCGACGAACCUGUCCGUUUUGCAGGACACCUUGUUGAAGGCUUCAGACUGCUUGAGCUUUAUCUCAUCCAGAAGUAGAAUGCCACACCUUCUGAUGUGGCUCUUGCCCUGAAAGUGCCCCUUAAUGGUACUUAGCGCAACUUCAUUGGACCCAAAUUUGCAUGGGAUGCCACUGAUGAUUUGGUGCAAGUCAGCUUUAGUAGGAAGCGGCAACAACUGCAUGUCUGAAAUCAGGGUUUAAGCUUUUGGGCUAGAAAUUUGCAACAAGAGCCACGUCAUCAGCCAUUCAUCAUCAUAUCGCCUUCCGUUUUUCAUCUUUGCUUUUGCUGCCAUUAUGACUGUUUUGAAUGCCAGUUACUGCUUUGCAGAGAGAACAUGAAGCACACUUUCAAUGUUAGCUUCAGUCACGUGACAAAGCUUUUUCAUAGCAGCCAGCUCUUUAUUCAGCUUUUCUCUCUUUAGCAUCGCUCGAUAACUUUCCGAUGCAACAUUUUCAGGCAUUUGCUCUUGAGUCUUGGUUUCCGCCUUUGGCAGUUCUUUGUGCGCAUAAAAAACAGUCUACCCAGCAUUUUGCAUUCUGGGCAGGUGGCAUCCAAGCUCAAUGUAGUGCAUGUUUUGCGUCGCCAUGUCUCACCGUCUUUACUGGCUAUCGACGAGGACGAUAUUUGUUGGUAAAGCUUGGCAAGAAAGUCCUGACAUGGCUUCAGCUUUUCCAUGUGGCUGCGCAGGCAUGUUAGGCUCACUGAAUGAGUUAACCUCCAGAUGCGACCAGUCCUGUGUAGACAGUUGAUGGCAUUGAUGGUACAAGCCGCCCAUUUGCACUGACUGACAAAGAUCGCUUGAGAACUUCACUGCCUUGCCGACUCGGGGGACUGCUUUUUGUAUUUGGAGUUUGUACAGGACGACAGUAGAACCAACAAGUUCAGUCGGCCAGCCUUGCACCCGCUGUCACGCUUGCGCCAUUGUUGAUAGCUCCUCGAACAGGGACUGGGUGCUAUCGAGUGCGACGCUGCCUGCCACAGAGCAACCUCUCUCCCCAUAAUCGAAGGUGUUCAGCGCUGUGUCUUCUUGUUCAGCGUCGUCCUGAACAUUCCGACACUUCGGUUGUAGAGGUGGCCUCUCGGCAGGUGCUUUGCGUUUCUGCACAGGCUUUGAAAGAUAUUUUGGACAGUUGGGAAACAAGCGGGGUACGGCGUCAUCCUUGAGGCUGCUAUUUGUCUCGUGGAAUGACGACUUCACCGCUGAAAGUGAAGGUCACACACAACACUAGAGCUCGUGAGCUCCUUGUCGCUUCUUGGGAUCGUGUGUUGCCAUUCUUGAAGCCGCGAGGCGUCGUUAGACGGUUUGAAAAAGUGCCUAUUCUAAGCUGCACCCCUCGCAUAGUCGUAGCCGCUUUUACAGCCGGUCACAAAGCAACGCAGCAUUGUUUAUCACUACACAGGCACAGCAGUCCUCGACAUCCUACGACUAUGCAUGGGAAAUAAAAGCAAACGCGCAUGAUAACAAGAAGACCAGAACGGCGCGGUUGCUUUUUGCAACGUUGGCCUUUUGGGCAUGCAGUCGCUCCCACAUUCCAUUGAAUCCGAUGCCAGCGCCGCCACCUGGUCUGUUGGAGAAGCACAUAAUAGAGAGGUUUAGCUUGUCCGGUAAUCGGGUAAACACAGGCGGUUGGGGCGGAGGUGUAAACGUGAGCGGCCUGUAUGGUGCUGCCACCUGGUGGUGCAGAGCUCAGACAAAAACACCUAAUAUAGCAGUAACCAAGUGUAUUCUAUUUCGCUGCUGGUGUAAAUUUUUGGCAAUGGCGUAAUCGUGUUGCCGAAAAUUUACACCAGCAGCGAAGUAGAAUACACUUGGUCGCUGCAAUAUUAGCUGUUUUUGUCUGAGCUCUUAAGGUGGCAGCACAAUACAGACUGCUCAUGUUUAUGUCUCUGCCUCAAUGCUCCAACGCCUGAUCUGUCGGCGUUUACCCAAUUACCGGACAAGCUAAACCUCUCUAUUAUGUGCUUCUCCGAUAGUGCGGGCGGCGGCGCUGGCGUCGGAUUCAAUGGAACGUGGGAGCGGCGGUGCAGCGGCCCGAGCAUAUUAGCCCAAGUUUGAGCUGCGUUGGGUUGCUGUGGACGUAGUCGCAUGUUUUUUUUUGUGCUGCAGUGUUUUUUUCUCAGCAUGCAAGAGAUGAGUAUGCUUUGUAGUGACUGAGCCAUGGCGCAAAAUCGACAAAACCAUUGGUACGUGCCUGGGUGCCAAACAGUCUACGUUUACAUGAAGGAUGGGCCGAAGUUGUUUUUGUUUGGUGUCUCAAAGGAUGAAAAUAGGCGGAAAGAGUGGGAGAAGACCACAACCAGCACGUGGCCAGAAGCGACUGAAGGCUCACUUAUCACAUUGCUGGCUAUGUUGCGUGAAAGUGUGUGUCAAUGCCAGUACAAAAUGCCAAGAAUGCAUCAAGCUGCUUACUAUGACUCCACCAGGCGAAUGUUUUCAGCUUGCCCAGCUAACGAAAUACUGUAACCAAGGAGGCCUCCUUUAUCCCUCCAGUCAGUUGUACAGCUUUGUGAAAAAGCUCCAGGAUCUCUUUUUGGAAUGCUUCUGUCAGGACGAGCUACACUCUGACAGCAUUGUGGAUAUGCUGGCAGUUGUUCAGAGGAGACUUCCCCUCCAAAUUUGUUGCAAUGCAUACGCUCCUACCCUCACAGCUUAAAUAAUUAGUUUUUGCCUUGUCACACGUCUUCAUUUUUGUGUGAAAGGACUUAACAGUGACAAGGCAAAGGUGAAAUUGAGCCAUUACACAUGAGGUGAAAAUGGCUGGAUGUUGUAUUUCAGUUCUUAAAAAUAAAAGCUUCGUGUCAGCAACAGCCCUGUUAUUGCCAUUUAGUUUACCCUUAUAUUGCUGUACAUAAGCAUAACAAAAGUAACUGCGUAAUGAUGGUAAUAAUAAAUUCAGAAGGUUAGUGAAACAAAUAAAGUGGAACAAGGAAAUAUUUAAGCCUUAUGCACAAUUUUAUUUUAGCUAAGCAAAGGCACAAACGUGGCUAGCAAACCUGCAUUUCUUUAGCUCGGCUAGGAAGUAUGUGCACACUGUUUUCCGACUAAUUCACUGGUGGACUACCGGUCAUAAUGUUGAUACAAAAUCAUUUCAGGUUAGGUCGAUAAUGCAUGAAACUGUAUAUAUAGACGCUUUCAGUGUUUACAAACCGACGGCGCGCGCGCUGAUUGGUUGAACCCAGCAAACUUCCGGCCGAGCGACUUCCGCCCGUUGGAACGUUGCGUUUCAAGUGUGUACUGCGUGCCUCGGUUGCCUCGGUCGUCGGAAUUACGUUAACGUGUUUUUUCUUCGCUCUCUGGAAGCGGUUCUCAAUGUCUAGUGAGUACUUCAAGCAGCUCGACGCCGAAGCUCGUCAACGGUAUCGGCAGAAGCUCACGUUCGAGGGCCAAGAGCUACCCGAUCCACUAGACUCUGAUGUGGUGCAGUUCAGCUUCUCGUCGGGCUGUAAGAACAUUCCACCAGUGUCCGCAGCGGAUAUUUUUGUUUAUCUGGUUGAGGGUGUAUGCUUCUACACCAAAGAACAAUUUAAGAACUUCAAGCUAAGUGACGCGUACAAUUUAUUCGUGAACGGCAAGGUGAAGCGCGUCUCGUCUUUUAAGGCUGGCAAAUGCGGCAGAGGUGUCGUCCUCAUCGUGGCAUCUGUGGAGGCGAGCCAAACCCUUUCUAAGACGUACCAGUCUUGGUGUGUGGUGAGGGGCGACGGUGCCGUUGCAAGUGCUCACUGCACGUGCAUAGCUGGGUAAGUGCACUGUGAUAACGUUUCUUAGGAGCUGAUUGAACGUGUUGGCAAUGAGAGUGUCUUCGUGGGCGUGACUUCGCGUGUUGUCAUGACUGAGUAUCGGCGAGCUUAACCGCGCUCGAGUCGUGUGUGUGUGUAUGCGCGCGGGGGGGAGGCGCUGCAGAGUGUAGUUUCUUUUCCUUGACCGGUCCAUAAUUUAAUCCAUGAUUUUGGCUAGGUUUCAUAAGUUUAGGAACGUGGGUUCGUUCUGUGGUACAGUGCAUGUUGCGUCAAACAUUAAGAAAAGAUCAUUUUGUUGGCGUUAAAUGGCACGGUGGGCAAGAUGGAAGAAAAAGAUGCACUCAAGAUGCUAACGUAUUGCACCUAUCCUGCCCUUUUGUGGAUGUGCAAGGUGACAAACAGGGAGCUGCAUGCAUGCAGUGUGAGAACAUAAUGAAUCUAAAUCGGCAAAAAUGAAGUCACUGAAGAAGCGUCCGCGAUCUGAAGAAAAGUGUUCAUGCUUGCUGCGCCGAGCUUUUAGCUUCCGAAUGAGUAAACAGUGUUUCAUUUUAUUGCAUAGAUCAACUUAGUGUGUCGACGCACCCUACACAUGCUUAACGAAAACAAAAAAUGCAUGGUGCUCCUUUCCACUUCCCCUCCGACUACACAUCCUUUUUUUUUCUGGCAUUACCACGAGUGCGUUUAUUUCACAAACUAGUGUUAAACUUAAAUUACCAGCCAUGUAUUUCCAUGCAUUCUUUAAAAAGUGCUUCUGCCGUUGUUUUGCAGUCUUGGAGAAUGCUUUACCCAUGUUGCUGCCUUGCUUUUUAAUGUGGAGGCAACUGUCAGGUACGGCCUUGACAAGCAUUCACCAACAGAUACUGCCUGUGGGUGGAUUGAGGUGACCAAGAAAGCUGCAGCGGCUCCAGUUAGUGACAUUAUUUUUCAAGCCGAAAAUUCGUCAAGGUGUACCAGAUGAAAUACCAAGGCCCGAGGAAGCUGUACCCACUUGGAGUACAGAGCAACUGCACAGCUUGUUUAAUCAAGUAAAGUCACUUGCACCAAGCACACUGCUCAUCAGCUCGAUUUCUGAUAGCGAGGAAGCUUAUUCUUCCCCAGAAACAAGUGAAAAAGGCCCUGUGCAGGCAGUGAACCAGCAACUGGCAACACAGCUUCCAGUUGGAGGCAUGUACUCUGGCAUUGACGCAACGGCAGCCAAGGAACUGCGCUUGUCAAAGGAAAGCUAGGACGUCAAGCCAGGAAUGGAAAACGGGAGCUCACAGUAGCUGACGAUAUGCCGAAUCUUCCAGCCAAGUCCUGUGUCAGCAAGCCAAGCCGCAGCCUCAUUAAUACCAAAAUAAACUGCUGGGUAUGACUGAGGCGAGUCAUGGAUGGAGGAUGCCGAAUGGACAACAUCUGCAGUAACGAGUUAAACAUGGCAAUGGAUACUAGCCCUGUGUGAAAUUUUACAGUCUUGUUUGUUUUUGUAACGAUGCCCUCAGUAACUUUUGCAUGGUCCAGUGGCACUUUAAGCUUUUCUAGCGUGGCAAUUUGGUUUUUGGCGGCUUCCAACUCUAGCUCUAAACAUCUCACAUGCUUUUUGUAUUUUUUGUUCUCCAGAAUUUGCACUGAAAUAUCUUGUAUUGAAAGAAUGGUCUCUGUUGAAGCAUUGCAUGCUACUUCAACGUCCACUGCCCCAUUGCUGCUGUCGGAACCUGCAUUAUCGCUUGUCUGAGAACCAGCUGAAGCAACGGCAUCCACUUGAGCAGCACAUCUCUUGUUAGUGCGCUGGAAACGAUCAAGCUUCUGCUGCAAGUUUCCAUGAGUACGGUGUGGGAACAAUGUUGGAAUGUAGUCUGGGUGACUUGGAUCGGAUGAUGGUUUACCUGCAGAGCACAUUGACAGAGAAUAAAAAAAACUGCUGAAUUAAUCACAAAGAAAUGGAACUUGGUCACUCUUCCCUAAAGCAGCAAAUUAAAAGCAUUGAACUAUUAAAAAAGGGGGCAUCAGUCGCAAGGAACAAUUGUUUAUUUUUGCAAGAGUUUGUGUGCAAAUUCUGCCAUGCAACUUAAAUCAGUAAGGCUGAUUGUGUGCUGAUAAAUUAUAAAUCUACAAUAAAGGCAUACGACUGUUUAGUUGGCAAAGUUUGCCUUCAUUAUUAAGCUUUGAUGUUUUGGUUGUUCAAAACAAGAGGCUAUCAAUGUGGAAACUUACUUAAAGCACUUAGUAAGAGAUGUAUAUUUCUACCUAGUGUUUGCACAUCUUCAUGGAUUGAUCUCUCAUUUCAAAUGAAACAGCAGACAGCUUUACUCAUGAAGCUUAAAUGCUAUCACAGAGAAAUGAAUUAACACUUUUGAAUAAUCUCCUUUAUGAAAACUUGCUACGCCGUUCUUUAACUGAUGUAGAAAUGUAAUAAGUGGUUUUACAUCUUAUUUAUGAAAUGCUUAAUUCAUAUAACAUUAAACAAACGUUCUAGUGCACUGGAUGUUACAUUUUCUUCCUUUUCUUUCUGUUAUCCUAAUUUUCUGUAAUAUACUGUACGAGCUUCUCCUGCCUGCAAGUUCAUGUAAAUUUUGCUUG